AGAAAGCUUCAUUUGAAUUAGAUCCAACAAUGAAGGGCUCUUCCUCAACCGUAAACCAAGAGGACUAGGCUCAUCAAGCGGAUUGUAUUGUGAAGGCGGUACAGGAAAAUCAUCCGUAGAUUCGGUACCGUCACUUUGUUGCGGAGAAACCGUCGUCGCCGUUUUCGAUCGCUUGGGUAACGGACCAUGUUCCUCUUCAAGAGAGUCCUCGAUCUCGAGUUUCACCGGCACCUUGUCGCGAAACGACGCCAUAUCCGACUCCAGAGAAAGGUUCCCGGAUUUCAUCAACUGCACCAUCAAAU
rnacentral:misc_RNA from 1 species